rnacentral:rRNA from 1 species
GUCGAGCGGAUGAGAAGAGCUUGCUCUUCGAUUCAGCGGCGGACGGGUGAGUCAUGUAAUAGGAUCUGCCUGGUAGUGGGGGACAACGUUUCGAACCGUUUGCUAAUACCGCAUACGUCCUACGGGAGAAAGCAGGGGACCUUCGGGCCUUGCGCUAUCAGAUGAGCCUAGGUCGGAUUAACGCUAGUUGGUGGGGUAAAGGCUCACCAAGGCGACGAUCCGUAACUGGUCUGAGAGGAUGAUCAGUCACACUGGAACUGAGACACGGUCCAGACUCCUACGGGAGGCAGCAGUGGGGAAUAUUGGACAAUGGGCGAAAGCCUGAUCCAGCCAUGCCGCGUGUGUGAAGAAGGUCUUCGGAUUGUAAAGCACUUUAAGUUGGGAGGAAGGGCAUUAACCUAAUACGUUAGUGUUUUGACGUUACCGACAGAAUAAGCACCGGCUAACUCUGUGCCAGCAGCCGCGGUAAUACAGAGGGUGCAAGCGUUAAUCGGAAUUACUGGGCGUAAAGCGCGCGUAGGUGGUUCGUUAAGUUGGAUGUGAAAUCCCCGGGCUCAACCUGGGAACUGCAUCCAAAACUGGCGAGCUAGAGUAUGGUAGAGGGUGGUGGAAUUUCCUGUGUAGCGGUGAAAUGCGUAGAUAUAGGAAGGAACACCCGUGGCGGAAGCGACCACCUGGACUGAUACUGACACUGAGGUGCGAAAGCGUGGGGAGCAAACAGGAAUAGAAUCCCCUGGGAGGCCCCCGCCGGAAACGAUGACGGCAACUUACCCGGUGGGGGCCUUUGGAACUUUUUUGGGGCAGCUAAAACCAUUAAAUUUGGACGCCCCGGGGGGGGACGGGCGCCAGGGGUUAAAAA